GCCUGCUCCAUCAGAUGGAGUGUUACGCUGGGAUUUCAGAAAAGCUCAGACACUGCACAAGGCGAGCGGCGCCUUCUAGCUCCGAGCAAAAAGGACUUCUUUUUUCUGCGCUGCCGAGGGAGUCUGGAACAAAAGGGACCGCGCUGCUUUACCCGAGAGCGAACAAUCGAAAGUUUAUGUGAAUCACAAUGUAGCCGUUCUCCCUGCGCAUCUCCACUGAGACAAAGAAAGACCUCAUGGCUGUGGGUACAAACAACACCGCAGACCGGAGACAGAAAGAAGCAGCCCGAGAGAGAAAAAAGAGAGAAGAAAAACAGAAGCAUGAGAGAAGAACAGGAAACUCCAGAAUAUUUCCAUCGGAAGUGCAACGUGGUGAACAUUUAAGAACCGAAAGUUGGUGCAUCCUGUCCCAUUUUCACUGAAUGAUCCCACACUGACGCAAGUCCUCUAAUCCGCUGAGCGCUGUCUGGUGUUACAGUAGACCUACAGCAACAGUGAAACCGAUAAGGAAAAAAGAAAGAGGGAAGGAAAAUCCUACCCUACUUUCAAGCGCCAUUUCG